GACGAACGCUGGCGGCGUGCUUAACACAUGCAAGUCACGGGGCGUGCGCAAGCCAGUAACCGGCGAACGGUGCGUAACACGUGAGCAACCUGCCGAGAUGAGGGGGAGUAGCCGGCCCAACGGCCGGGUAAUACCGCAUACGAUCUCUUAGAGGAGUCUCUAGGGGAGGAAACCUCCGGGGCAUUUCGAGGGGCUCGCGGCCUAUCAGCUAGUUGGUGGGGUAACGGCCCACCAAGGCGACGACGGGUAGCCGGCCUGAGAGGGCGACCGGCCACCACUGGGACUGAGA
rnacentral:rRNA from 1 species